AAGUGAAGGGCUGGGUAUGUACAUUAAGUCAACAUAUGAUGGUCUCCAUGUAAUUACUGGAACAACAGAAAAUUCACCUGCAGAUCGGUGCAAGAAAAUCCAUGCUGGAGAUGAAGUGAUUCAAGUUAACCACCAAACUGUGGACAACCAUUUGGGGAAUUUAAACAUGAGAACAUGCAAUACAUACACAUGCAUGCCUCAAAUUCCCGUUGUGUGAUGUAAGUGCACAAAAGAAUUACUGUAAGGGAGAUGUGGCUGUGCUGGCUUAAUACUGCAGUUCUUCCUGAGGAGCACAUUCCUUCUGCUGGAGAACUUAACUCUUUAUCUCCACGAGGAGUGGGGCCUCUCUCGGCUAUAGUGAAGAGCCAUCUGUGAGAAACUGGGGUCUGAUCUGGUCUGCCUAAAUCCUUCCUGAGCCCUCAGCUCAUACAAACUGUCUGUGUCUGAAUUAGGUAUUUAUCAGCACUUCCCUACUCAGCCUUGGAGUUUCUUGAUCUCUUACUGUGGCCACCUGGGGAUGCUGAAAUAUCUGUCCCUUGAGGAGCCUCACUAAAAUGAAGUGUUCCUUGGAAGCAUCUGGAAAUGAGGCCAAGUGGCAGCAUCUUUAUUCAUAUUGGUUCAAUGUCUGUACUCUUGGUAAUGAAGAAGUAGGGCCAGCUCGCCACAGGUUGGAUUUCACACCCUGUUCCCUGCAGUACACUUGUAACUUAUAUUUGUAUGGCACAAAAGUGAUCGCUUGGAAUUGGAACUGGAAUCCUUGUUUCCCUGCUCCCAGUGCAGUGCACUGAUGGCUUCUUGCCAGCUGAAUGACUGGGCGUCUUACCCAUGUAUUAUUGCCAACAUAGUGCUUUGCCUAAGGAAAGACCUUUCACCUGAAAUUAAAUUACGCACACCUUGGUGAUUGAGCUUGAAAGACUGAAUUAACCCCUCUGAGUCUAAAUAAUGCUGAGAUUCAUGUUCCCUGAGUGGGUGGAAGACUGGGUGAAAGCCUUCCAAAUCGCCAGAGCCUGUCUGUCUCCUGUGGUGGUCUGCACCCCUGGUUGAAGAGAGAGGAACCUUACAGCCAUCAUGCUGGAGGCAGCAGGUGGCUGUGGGGAACCCCAUGUACAAAGCUAGAAAAGGUGCUUCAGGCUUCAGAGAAACAUAAAAA